rnacentral:tRNA from 1 species
GGCAUGGUGGCUCAGUGGUUAGAGCGCCCGCCUCAUGAACGGGGGGGGGGGGGGGUCGUUGGUUCGAACCCCGGCCGAGUCA